rfam:Heligmosomoides polygyrus genome assembly, scaffold: HPBE_scaffold0001912
GCAUCGGUGAUUCAGUGUUGGAAUGCACGCCUGCCACGCUGGCGGCCCGGGUUCGUUUCCCGGCCCAUGCA